GGAGGUUGUGCCCUUGAGGCGUGGCUUCCGGAGCUAACGCGUUAAAUCGACCGCCUGGGGAGUACGGCCGCAAGGUUAAAACUCAAAUGAAUUGACGGGGGCCCGCACAAGCGGUGGAGCAUGUGGUUUAAUUCGAUGCAACGCGAAGAACCUUACCUGGUCUUGACAUCCACAGAACUUAGCAGAGAUGCUUUGGUGCCUUCGGGAACUGUGAGACAGGUGCUGCAUGGCUGUCGUCAGCUCGUGUUGUGAAAUGUUGGGUUAAGUCCCGCAACGAGCGCAACCCUUAUCCUUUGUUGCCAGCGGUUAGGCCGGGAACUCAAAGGAGACUGCCAGUGAUAAACUGGAGGAAGGUGGGGAUGACGUCAAGUCAUCAUGGCCCUUACGACCAGGGCUACACACGUGCUACAAUGGCGCAUACAAAGAGAAGCGACCUCGCGAGAGCAAGCGGACCUCAUAAAGUGCGUCGUAGUCCGGAUUGGAGUCUGCAACUCGACUCCAUGAAGUCGGAAUCGCUAGUAAUCGUAGAUCAGAAUGCUACGGUGAAUACGUUCCCGGGCCUUGUACACACCGCCCGUC
rnacentral:rRNA from 1 species